UGGUAGAUGCACCCUGAUAACUGACGCCCCUGGUUAGCUACUAGCUACUUGGGGGUUUUUUAU
rfam:Tolypothrix campylonemoides VB511288 scaffold_3, whole genome shotgun sequence.